CUUGGUCAUUUAGAGGAAGUAAAAGUCGUAACAAGGUUUCCGUAGGUGAACCUGCGGAAGGAUCAUUAACAAUUCGCGCUCCGGCGUGAUGCGUAUACCCUGCACUUUGAGCACCUUUUAUACUCCCCCCGGCGGGGCAACCCGCCGGACGGGACAACCACAAAACCCUUUGCAUUAGAAAUCAUGUCAGUACAAAACAAAAUAAAUUAAAACUUUCAACAAUGGAUCUCUUGGCUCUGGCAUCGAUGAAGAACGCAGCGAAAUGCGAUAAGUAGUGUGAAUUGCAGAAUUCAGCGAAUCAUCGAAUCUUUGAACGCACAUUGCGCCCUUCGGUUAUUCCUUAGGGCAUGCCUGUUCGAGCGUCAUUUCAACCUUCAAGCUCAGCUUGGUGUUGGGUGUUUGUCCCGCCCCCCGCGCGUGGACUCGCCUCAAAUUGAUUGGCAGCCACAUCCCCCCGCCGCGAGCGCAGCACAGUCGCGCUUACGACGUGGGUGGGUCGGCGAUCCAGAAGCCUAUUUCAACGUCUUGACCUCGGAUCAGGUAGGGAUACCCGCUGAACUUAAGCAUAUCAAUAAGCGGAGGAAAAGAAACCAACAGGGAUUGCCUUAGUAACGGCGAGUGAAGCGGCAACAGCUCAAAUUUGAAAUCUGGCCUCUUUGGGGUCCGAGUUGUAAUUUGCAGAGGGUGCUUUUGGUGUUGGCCGUGGUCUAAGUUCCUUGGAACAGGACGUCACAGAGGGUGAGAACCCCGUACGUGGCCGCCGGCCCUCGCCUUGUAAAGCCCCUUCGACGAGUCGAGUUGUUUGGGAAU
rnacentral:sRNA from 1 species